rnacentral:lncRNA from 1 species
UGAGUACAUUGUCGGUGAGCAAGUCUGAGGCGUACCAUGUGCGCCAGUGCAGCAAUAUUCCGGCGUGUUGAAGGCAGCACAGGCGCUUUUACAAGCGACGACAGAACCUGAGUCCGUCAUCUGUAACUCGGCGGGGCAAUUUGUGUUGAGGUCAUUGACGCAACCUGCAUAUUGGCAAGUCCCUGUACCACCAACUGCCUUGACUGCUACGGCCAUGUUGUAACCAUCUACGAGACUAAUGUCAUAAAAGUCCUUAUUGUCAUGUCCAUUAAGGGUGAACUCGAUCAGGGAAACGGGUGGGAUGCCACCGCCGUUGCACUUUAACGCGCCACCACAGUCACCGGUUACACAUUUUCCUGAGCCAGAGUUGUCGAAAUUGCAGCCAGUUCGACCCCAAAAGCGACCAGACCAACCAGGUGGAGGGUGGAGCCGGGAUGAUGAACCAGGAGCCAAUGCAAAACCACCAUCACCAAGGGGAGGGCCAUUUGCGGUCAGGGAACCAGGCCAUACUGUGAAACUACAACGAUUUUCGAGUGUAAAGCUUGUUGCUGAAGAAAAUAUCGCCCCUGAAAUCGUUGUUAUAAGCAAAGUUCAGUCAAUGUUAUUUAUUUGAAUAAAAAAAUUUGAACCAUCGACUAAGCAUCGAUUCUAAAUACUCAUCUUCAAGUGGAAAAGAUAAAAGCUUUUAUUACAUAAACCAUAAAAUAAACAUGGAAAAGAAACAGAAAAGAAUAAUGUUCUAAUGCAAAUAAAGGGAAUGCAUUUACCAAAUGAGAAGAAAUUCAGUAGAAAAAGAAGAUAAAUCCCAAAGGAAAUCGCCAUUACUGCCUUGUGAAGAAGAAGAAGUUUGAGAAGAAAAUGGGAAGGAUUUAGAGUGACUUGAUGCAAGGAGAAUUGGGAUGAUGUGGGGGGAACUACAUAGAAUGUUAUCGUAUUUAUAAUAGGCCAGUUCGGGUUCUACUGCCCCCAUAAAUUUUGGUUGCAAAUAUAUGAAGGUCGCCC